rnacentral:tRNA from 1 species
GCCCCGAUAGCUCAGAUGGAUAGAGCAUCCCCCUCCUAAGGGGAAGGUCGGAGGUUCGAAUCCUCCUCGGGGCACCA